CCCUUAGAUGUUCUGGGCCGCACGCGUGCUACAUUGAGUAAUUCAAUGGGUAAGGGAACGCUAGAGCAUUACCUAAUCUUGAAAUUUGCUCGUGAUGGGGAUCGACGGUUGCAAUUUUCCGUCGUGAACGAGGAAUACCUUGUAGGCGCAUGUCAUCAUCAUGCGCCGAAUACGUCCCUGCCCUUUGUACACACCGCCCGUCGCUCCUACCGAUUGAGUGAUCCGGUGAGGCUCUGGGACCUGGACGGAAAGAGCGUUUCGCUUGUUCUGUUUGGGAAACUUGGUCGAACCUUAUCAUUUAGAGGAAGGAGAAGUCGUAACA
rnacentral:rRNA from 1 species